rnacentral:misc_RNA from 1 species
GAACCGUAGGUGAACCUGCGGUUGGAUCAUUACUGAUUCGUAAAAUGCUUUUGUGUAAAAUGUGUUGUUGUUGGGCUUUUUCCUUUUUGUGUUAAAAAACUUGAAGGGAGAGGCUUGGCCGCACUCACAAAGACUAAAGCCGUUUACCAUCCUGUUUUUGCUUUGUAAUUGUUUGGUAUCUGAGAUGAAAAGGACGGACCGCCCCUUAAAAAGGCUUGUGUCCAACCUUUGAGUUUCGUUUGUCAAUGUGCAAGGAGCCUGUUGGUUCUUUGUGUGGUGGUCUUUGUUUAGUCGGAGUAUUUGCGCUAGCGAAUUCGAAGAUGGGUUUUUGAUAGAAAGUCAUGCACCUGACAGGGGAGUAUAACGCCUACAAGUUAUAUAUAGACCUAAUCAGUCAACCCUUAAAUAUUUUAACCCCGGUCGUCGAUGGCGUUUCAUUUUCGAAAGGUGUAUUGAAAAUUAUAUACAACUUUCAACAACGGAUCUCUUGGUUCUG